rnacentral:rRNA from 2 species
UGCUACCUGGUUGAUCCUGCCAGUAGUCAUAU